ACGGGGGGAGGAAAAAGGAAGAAAAACUGGGGAGUGAAAGGGGGGAAAACAGUGGGAUUUUGGACGAGAAACCGAGAAAAAAACUUCAGCUAAACCCAGACAAAAAACCAGAGAAGAAAAUCAGAGCAAAGAAGAGAGAAAAAGCAGAGCACAAAUCCAAAGCAAUAAUACACAGAGAGAGGGGAAAAGAAACCGAAGAAAAGCAGGGAAAACAGGGGAAGCACACAGGGAGAUGAAGAAAAAAUGAAGACUGGGAACUAACACAGAAAAACAGAGGAAAAAUAAAACCCACGGACGAAGAACAAAGAAAAAAACAGAUACACAGAGAGAGAGGGAGAGAAUCCUGAGAGCAGAAGAAAGCAAGAGAUAAAGCGGAAGAAGGGAGAGGACGUUGCUCGGCCAGAUCGUCACCAGAGUUUCCAUCUUCGGUCUUCAAGGUGCAGGUCAGUAGCACAGACGACGUUGCUCGGCCAAGUCGUCACCAGAGUUUUCAUCUUCGGUCUUCAAGGUGCAGAGCAGUGGACCCAAUUGGGAACUCCCAUUAGGAAGAAAGGACAAAGACUGCGAACCUGAGUGGCUCAAACAACAACAUUCCCACUCUCAACUCUACUAUCCAAAACCUCAUAACAUUUUUCAAGCGUCAAGGCCUUAAUGAGGUCGACCUUGCUGCUCUCUAAGGAGGGCAUACAAUUGGGGUGGCAAGGUGUGUGACCUUCAAACAGAGACUGUAAAACCAAAAUGGAAACAACCAACCAGAUCAGACUCUAAAGAAAAACUAUUUCUUAGAUCUGAAGUCAGUAUGUCCAAGAUCAGGUAGAGACGAUAACCUUUCUCCUUUGGACUUGGCCUCUUCAGCAAAAUUAGACAACUCUCACUUCAAGCUCUUACUUUGGGGCAAAGGGCUUCUCACUUCUAAUGAAGUGCUUUAUACAGGAAAGGAUGGCAAGACUAUUCAGUUGGUUAAGAGAAAUGCUGAAGAUGAGGGCCUGUUCUAUGAGCAUUUUGCCAAGUCUAUGGUUAAGAUGGGAAACAUUAGCCCUCUUACAGGUUUUAAUGGUGAAGUUAGGAGGAAUUGUCGCCUUGUUAAUUAGAAAAAAAAAUAGUUAUCAUGUAAACAUGUGAAGAACAUAUUGUAUUAUAAAUGUAUUGUAUUUGAGCUUUAA